rnacentral:rRNA from 1 species
GAUGAACGCUGGCGGCGUGCCUAAUACAUGCAAGUCGAGCGAACAGAUGAGGAGCUUGCUCCUCUGACGUUAGCGGCGGACGGGCGAGUAACACGUGGAUAACCUACCUAUAAGACUGGGAUAACUUCGGGAAACCGGAGCUAAUACCGGAUAAUAUAUUGAACCGCAUGGUUCAAUAGUGAAAGACGGUUUUGCUGUCACUUAUAGAUGGAUCCGCGCCGCAUUAGCUAGUUGGUAAGGUAACGGCUUACCAAGGCAACGAUGCGUAGCCGACCUGAGAGGGUGAUCGGCCACACUGGAACUGAGACACGGUCCAGACUCCUACGGGAGGCAGCAGUAGGGAAUCUUCCGCAAUGGGCGAAAGCUUGACGGAGCAACGCCGCGUGAGUGAUGAAGGUCUUCGGAUCGUAAAACUCUGUUAUUAGGGAAGAACAAAUGUGUAAGUAACUAUGCACGUCUUGACGGUACCUAAUCAGAAAGCCACGGCUAACUACGUG